rnacentral:rRNA from 1 species
UUGAAAAGAACUUUGAAGAGAGAGUUCAAGAGUACGUGAAACCGUUCAGGGGUAAACCUAAGAAACCCAAAAGAUCGAACGGGGAGAUUCAUCGUCAGCGGCGUUGGCUUCGCGUCGGUGGGCGAUGUCCGCGCGGUUUCUCGCGCGGGCACGCUACCGUGCGCGCAUGACCGGCGUCGUCGUCGUGCACUUCUCCCCUAGUAGAACGUCGCGACCCGCUGGGUGUCGGUCUACGGCCCGGGUGUGGUGACUGUCGCGUCGCCGGUAAAACGGCACGCGGCAAACCCUCGGACGCCCGGCCGGCUGCCCGGCGGUACUCGCACGGUAUCAGGCCGCAGCGCAAAAGUCUCUGCGUCAAGCCCGUCGCAAGCGCGCGCCACGGUUACUCGGAGGUACGGACCCAGCGCCGUCCCCGGUCCUGGCCCGCUGUUGGCCGACGGUGAUCCUUUGACAGGCCUCGCGGGGCGAGGCGCGUCCGCGCGCCUCCGCCCCAAUACCGGUCGGCGACGCUACUGCUUUGGGUACUCUUAGGACCCGUCUUGAAACACGGACCAAGGAGUCUAACAUGUGCGCGAGUCAUUGGGACCAGCAAAACCCAAAGGCGCAAUGAAAGUGAAGGUCGGCCUCGGCGCCGACCGAGGGAGGAUGGGCCGCGUCGCGAUGCGGCCUCGCACUCCCGGGGCGUCUCGUUCUCAUCGCGAGAAGAGGCGCACCAAGAGCGUACACGUUGGGACCCGAAAGAUGGUGAACUAUGCCUGGUCAGGACGAAGUCAGGGGAAACCCUGAUGGAGGUCCGUAGCGAUUCUGACGUGCAAAUCGAUCGUCGGAACUGGGUAUAGGGGCGAAAGACUAAUCGAACCAUCUAGUAGCUGGUUCCCUCCGAAGUUUCCCUCAGGAUAGCUGGCACUCGGCCGUUCUGCGGAACGCGCGCGAGUCUCAUCUGGUAAAGCGAAUGAUUAGAGGCCUUGGGGCCGAAACGACCUCAACCUAUUCUCAAACUUUAAAUGGGUGAGAUCUCUGGCUUUCUUGAACGUUGAAGCCACGAGAAUCUCGGAUCAGAGUGCCAAGUGGGCCAUUUUUGGUAAGCAGAACUGGCGCUGUGGGAUGAACCAAACGCAGAGUUAAGGCGCCUAACUCGACGCUCAUGGGACACCAUGAAAGGCGUUGGUUGCUUAAGACAGCAGGACGGUGGCCAUGGAAGUCGGAAUCCGCUAAGGAGUGUGUAACAACUCACCUGCCGAAGCAACUAGCCCUGAAAAUGGAUGGCGCUGAAGCGUCGAGCCUAUACUCUGCCGUCAGCGGCAAGUGGGGCGGGGGUGUCAAAAGCCCCCGUCACGAAGCCCUGACGAGUAGGAGGGUCGCGGCGGUGUGCGCAGAAGGGUCU